rnacentral:rRNA from 1 species
UCUUGUGUACAUGCCUACAAUGUUAAUGCACCAUAUCCCAUCAAAACUCCAUAGUUAGGCGCACUUGGGCUAGAGUAGUACUGGGAUGGGUGAGCUAUCGGGAAGUCCUAGUUUUUUUCAUGCC